rnacentral:lncRNA from 1 species
AUAAACGAUUGAACUGAUAAGUAACUGAUCUACCUAUCAAGCAAGGAACUGACCGGACAAGUAAAACAUGAUGAAACAAGAGAGCUGUUUAAUUUCCCUGUUUUCUACCAUUGAAGAGUUUUAUAAUUACUGCACUGUUUACAAAAAAACAUAUUCCACUUUUUUUGCUUACUCUGAUGAUGAUGUACUUACGAAAAAUAAAAAAAUAAAAAACUCGCAUGAUUUUCAAGAGUUUCAAAACCAACUACAAAGUUUUAUUAAGAAGCUGUGUACUUUUCAAAAACACAUUUUAAAAGAAAAUAAAAAAAGCACGAGGAAUAACGAAAAAUCAAAUAACGAAAAAUCAAAUAACGAAAAAUCAAAUAACGAAAAAUCAAAUAACAAAAAAUCAAACAACGACGAAUUAAACAAUGACGAAUUAAACAAUGACGAAUUAAAUCAAUGGAAAAAUGAUGCUUCACUAAACAGUAGUUCAAUUUAUAGUCCAUUUCCUUCUAAUAAAAGUAUUUAUAAAAAUAAUGAUAGAUUAAAUAAAAGUAUAAGUUAUAAAAGUACAUAUGAUUUAGAUCAUGUAUGUGACAUAAAUGAAGGUAAAUAUAAAAAGAAUGAGUUAGGUAAUAGUAGUUUAUCUGAUUUUUAUCAAAGUAUUAGUGAAUUUUAUAAGAGUAAAGAAACUAAUACUAACAUGGAUGAAGAUCUUAACAACAAUAGUAACAAUAAUAACGACAAUGGUGGAGAUAUUCGUUACAGUACAUUUGGUAAUGACAGCUUAAAUAAUAGCAGUAAUGGUAACAUAUUAUAUGAUAAAAUUAGUAAUAUUUAUUUAAAUAGUAAUGGAACCAUCAUAAAUAAUAGUCAUAGUAUUAACCAAAAAAUUAACCAAAAAAUAAACCAAAAAAUUAAACAAAAAAUUAACCAAAAAAUAAACCCAAAAGAAGAUAAACAAUACUUAGUUAAUUUAUGUGAAGAUGACGAAUUGUCCAAUGCUAUAACAUUAAAAUGUAAAACUGGUCUAACCCAGGGACUGAAUAUUGACGAAUACUCCUAUGAAGAUAACAAUAUAAUGUCUAGUGUUGAUAAUGUUACAAAGAAUAAUGAAUUUAAAAAAAAGUAUGAAGAAGAGGAAAAGGUUUGGAUGGUUGAAUAUUGUAAUGGAGGAGAUUAUAAUUCAUUUAGAACUAAGCAGAGAGAUAAAAGAACAGAAUAUCUUUGUUCUGAUUGGGAUAAUUUGACAGGUUAUUAUACAAAAGGGAAAUGUAAUAAUCAAUAUGUCGUUGAUUUGGAAAAAACAAAGCCAGAUUUGGGGAAAACAAAGCCAAAUUUGGGGAAAACAAAGCCAAAUUUGGGGGAAAAUGAAUCGAGUAGGAGUGAUAGGAAAGCUUGUCAAAAAUCACAUACCAAUAAUAUAUUUUAUGACACACAUAACACACUUAACUUAAAAGUUAUUUACGAAAAAAAUAAAAUCGAAUUUGUGUCUCAAAAGGAAUUGUGUUUUUUCGAAGGACAGAUUAUUAUAAAUAAAUAUAAAGUAAUAAAAGUUUUAUCUAAAACUGAAUUUAGUACUACUUUAAAGUGUUUAAAUUUGCAUUAUAGGAAGGGAAAACAAUCAGAAAAUGAACAACAUCAGACAAGUAAUUAUUUUAUAAAUAAAAAGGAUUAUGAAAAUGGCGAUAACACAUAUGUUAGUUUAUCAUAUUUGGAUGAAAAAAAUGUUAUAAAUAGUGGAAGUAGUAAUAGUAGUAGUAGUAGUAGUAGUGGUAGUGGUAGUAGUAGUGACAACUGGUAUGAUGGGCCAAACCAAAUGGACUCUUUUGGAAAAAGAAAUAAACAUUCAACAAAACAAAACAUAGGAAGAAAAGAAAGAAAAAAAAAAAAAAUUACAAGUAUGUAUGUUUAA